rnacentral:rRNA from 1 species
AACGAACGCUGGCGGCAUGCCUAACACAUGCAAGUCGAACGAGACCUUCGGGUCUAGUGGCGCACGGGUGCGUAACGCGUGGGAACCUGCCCUUAGGUUCGGAAUAACUCCCCGAAAGGGGUGCUAAUACCGGAUAAUGUCUUCGGACCAAAGAUUUAUCGCCUUUGGAUGGGCCCGCGUUGGAUUAGCUAGUUGGUAGGGUAAAAGCCUACCAAGGCGACGAUCCAUAGCUGGUCUGAGAGGAUGAUCAGCCACACUGGGACUGAGACACGGCCCAGACUCCUACGGGAAGCAGAAGUGGGGAAUAUUGGACAAUGGGCGAAAGCCUGAUCCAGCAAUGCCGCGUGAGUGAUGAAGGACUUAGGGUUGUAAAGCUCUUUUACCCGGGAUGAUAAUGACAGUACCGGGAGAAUAAGCGCCGGCUAACUCCGUG